rnacentral:rRNA from 1 species
AUUGAACGCUGGCGGCAGGCCUAACACAUGCAAGUCGAGCGAGCGGCGGACGGGUGAGUAAUGUAUGGGGAACUGCCUGAUGGCGGGGGAUCACUACUGGAAACGGUAGCUAAUACCGCAUAACAUCAGAUGAGCCCAUAUGGGCUUAGCUAGUAGGUAAGGUAACGGCGUACCAAGGCGACGAUCCCUCGCUGGGCUGAGAGGAGGAUCAGCCACACUGGGACUGAGACACGGCCCAGACUCCUACGGGAGGCAGCAGUGGGGAAUAUUGCACAAUGGGCGCAAGCCUGAUGCAGCCAUGCCGCGUGGAUGAAGAAGGCCUUCGGGUUGUAAAGUACUUUCAGUCGGGAGGCGUUACCGACAGAAGAAGCACCGGCUAACUCCAGGCCAGCAGCCGCGGGAAUUC